UGCCAAAAUAUACAGCCCAUCAGUAGUUUCUUUGUUUCACAGAGUCACAGAAUGGCUGAGGUGGGAGGGACCUCUGAAAAUGUCAUAGUUCAGUGCCCCAGCAUAAAGUAGGUCAGCCAGAGCAGGUUGCUUAGGGCUGUCUCCAGCCAGGUGUUCCAAGAUGGAACACCAUCUUUCCAUCUUCAAAGAUGGAAACUCCACAGCCUAUGUGGGCAGCAUGUUCCAGUGUUUUAUAAUCCUAGAGUAAGAAGUUUUUCCUAUGUUUAAAUUUAAUUUCUUGCAUUUCAAUUUGUGCCCAUUGCCUUUUGUCCUGUCACUGAAUACCUCUGAGGGUAGUUUGACUGUGUCUUCUUUACACUCCCCCAUCAGGUAAUUAUAUACAUUGAUAAGACGGCCAACAAACAUUCGCUUCUUCCAGCUCUCUCAGCCUUUCCUUCUGUGACAGAUGCUCAGGUUCCUUACACAUGGGACAUCAGUUCCUUUCAUGGCUGCUUGCAAGAAUUAGUCCAAUAUGACCAUGUUUCUCUUCUACUGAACAUUAUUGAACAUGAGUCAACAGUAUUCCUUGGAAGCCAAGGGGGCCACCCAUGUCCUAGGGUGCAUCCAGCACAACAUUGACAGCCUGUCAAGGGAGGUGAUUGUCCCACUCUGCUCUGCACUGGUGCAGCCUCACCUGGAGCACUGUGUGCAGUUCUGGGCAACACAGGAUAAAAAGAAUAUAAAGCUACUGGACAGUGGCCAGAAGAGGCUACAAAGUUGGUGAAGGAUUUGGAGAGGAAGCCAUAUAAGGAGUGGCUAAAGUCACUAGGUUUGUUCAGCCUGGAGGAGAAGAGACUCAGGUGAGACCUCAUGGUGGCCACAGCUUCCUCACAAGGGGAGGAGGAGGGGCAGGCGCUGAUCUCUUCUCUCUGGUGACCAAUGACAGAACCCAAGGGAAUGGCAGGAAGAUGUGCCAGGGGAAGUUUAGGUUGGACAUUAGGAAAAGGUUUUUCGCCCAGAGGGUGGUGGAGCUCUGGAACAGGCUCCCCAGGGAGGUAUCACAGUCCUAAGCCCGACAGUGCUCAAGAAGUGAUUGGACACUGUGAAGCCCAGCAGAGCACCUUUUCUUUUUGGCUCCUCUAUAGCCUGUCAGGAGUCUGUCAUCAGUGCAGUCCAGAAACCUCCUGACUGUUUGUGCCCCGAUGGAUUGCACUGCCUGAAGAGGUAUUGGGGUGGCUGAAGUCCACCCUGAGAAUCAGACUCUGUGAUUGUGAGGCUUUUGCCAGUUGUCUGAAGAACAGGCAACUGUUUGCUUUUUAGCCUGAAAGUUGUCAGUUCGUGAUGACUAUUGAAACUAGAGCUGCCCUCAUUUCUGCUGAAGACAAAGUCAAAUGACAUGCUUUCCCUCCCUGAUCAGGAUGAAGAUGCUUCAUCUGUAUGGCUUCCACUUCAGUCAUGGUCUGGAGUACACGAAAGAAAUCACCAAAACUGUGGAAGUCUUUUGUGAGCUCACUGUCUCAGCUGCUAACAUUUCCAUUGAAUGAAAAAUUCUGUGUAUCCCAGGAGAUAUCUUUGUCUUUAAAAUGUACCUCUGCUUUGAUAAAGAGCUUUCAUGUCACUUUGUGCCUCAUUUUUUGAGAACGCCAAAGCAUAAAAUUGUGUUGUUUUUAAAUA